rnacentral:precursor_RNA from 1 species
GGCUCUCCGGAACGAACUGCGCAUGUGCGAACUGCAGACGGCUAGCAUAUGCGCACUUCGUUCCGGAGGGCACA